UGUUCGUUCGUUGCUUUCGUUCGGUUUUGAUUCCAUUCGGUUGUGUUUCUCAUUCGAGAACAUUCAUUUAUAAUUUUUUGACUCCUCUGCACCAGUUUUUCUGUUGUAUUCAGUUACAAAUUUGUUGUGUUCUACGUUUUUUCCAACUAAAAAAAAAAAGAAGAAAACAACAACAAACAGAAACACAACUGCAAUUGUAACUACAACAACAACAACAACAACAACUGCAACUGCAACGGCAAUAACUCUGUGCAAGACUCUCUUCUGUGCAAUAUACCAGAUGAUAUAUAUUUAGGUAUAUAUAUAUCAGUAUAUAUAUAUAUACCAACUAUCGCUACUAUCGUUUCGUUACGUUUCGCUUUAAACACUCGUGUCGGGCAAACAUCAAUUGCAAUACGUUCAACUCGAUUGACGAAAGCCAAGCUAACUGUAAAGCAACAACAACAGCAGCAACGGCAACAACAACAACAACAACAACAACAACAACAACAACAACGCAUCGAUUGUGUUCCUAGUCAAAUUUGUUCCAUUUUUUUUUCGCUUUUUGUUACACUGUGCAAAAGCCAAGCCAAGCUAAGCAAAGCAAACGCAGCAACAAGACCAAUAACAACAACAACAACAACAACAACAACAGCAACAGCAACAGCAACUACAGCUAAAACUCAAGCAGCGUGCGUCAGAGCGAGAUAGCUGUUGCCAACGCAGCCUUUGAGUGAGCGAGCGCGAGCAACUGUUUUGCAAUCAAUAGAGCCAAAAGAAAAGUUUUCUUUUCUUGCUGCUUCUUCUUUCACAUAUAUAUAUAUAUACAUAUAUAUAUCGAAAUAUAUAUAUACUUCUUUGCUAUCUAUUUUUUUUAUGCGACGUGUCUGUGUCGACUUUAUCGUAUUGCAGAAAUCUAUUGAGUACGAAACGAGCGAGCAAUCGAACAGCUAAUUAUCAUUUAUCCGACACGGUCUGGGAACAGGAGCAAGAAGCGAUUCGAUAAGAAAGAUUUUUUAAACUGCAACCGAAGCAAAGCGCAAAAACCAAACACCACCAAACAAAACCAACAAAACAAACUAUUAAAAUAAUAAUAUUAAAAAAAAAAACCAAGAAGAAGAA